UGAGUAUUGACUCCUCAUCUAAAAAAUAGGUCUAAAAAUUGUACUUCAGUUGGAUUUCAUGAAGACUCAAUGAGAUGAGGACUGCAGAAUGCCUGAAAGAGUUUGCACUGACACUCUACUGCAAUGGUUCCUCAUCUUUUGUGGAGUACAGUCUCCUUGAGAAAAAGAGAAGCACCAUGGAAAUAUGUACAUAAUUCACAUGAGGUUGUGCACACACUUACAGGAAGUGUGGAGUCCCCUUGAUGCCUGUCAGUGAAUGCCCGAGUCACCUCUGGCCACCGACAUUAGAGAAAGUAGCUGGGAUGAUACCAGUUUAGGACAGUCUGUGUCAGAGCAUUUGAGCUGAAUCUCCAAACCCAAACAUGCUUUGGAAGAAGCAUAUAGAGACCUUGUUGGGAAGCAUUCUGCACUGAGAUUAAUUAAAACUAUCGGUAACACAUUAUUUUUGACUACACGGCAUGUAAAACAAGAGAUAGUCUAUGUGCUGCACAAAAACAUUUCUUUGGCUCAAGUCUUUUAUCUUCACGGUUUAAGCUAACAGAUCUCUGUUGCACAACGUGGAAAAUUGAAGUAAACCUUGAACUGGAAUGUUCAGAGUGUACAGAGAAUCUUCCCAGAGGCUGUAACAACACAGUAGAUUGAAAAGAGAAGCAUAUGUAAGAAUCCAACUAUCUUCCCUAAAGCACUUUGGGAGGCCAAGGCAGGAGGAUCACCUAAGGUCAGGAGUUCGAGCCAGCCUGACCAACAUGGCGAAACCCCAUUUCUACUAAAAAUACAAAAAUUAGCUGGGCAUGGUGGCAGGUGCCUGUAAUCCCAGCUACAUAGGAGGCUGAGGCAGGAGAAUAGCUUGAACCCGGGAGGCAAAUGUUACAGCGAGCCAAUAUGGCACCACCGCACUCCAGCCUGGGUAACAAAGGGCGAAACUCUGUCUAAAAAUAAUAAUAAUAAUGAGUACUGAGCUACGUUCACUGUGACUUUGGCUUGUGGGAGAAAGAGUCCAUGUCAGUCUUGUUGUGCCUCUAAAUGCUUUUUGGAGGGCUUCCUGGCUUCUUUUAUUCCUGUACAUUUGCGAUUAAUUGUGUUUAAGGUUUGGAUGAGGCAGGGACCCAGAAGAGACAUUAAGCUGCAUCACUCAAUAAAACAUUGCCUUUUCAUCCCGAGGCAUGACCCUCUGGACUUCAGUGGGGUCACUGUUGGGAUAUCAAGGUCUGUGUGCCCUGGAAUAGCAGUUGCCAUGAAAGAGCCAGGGUGGAGAUCUUCAAGUACUGGACAGCAUGGGCAAACCUGAGGCUCUUUUGAGUGGGAGAAAAGAGCUCAAACUUUAAAACUGGCCUGAGGAGCAGCAAGCAGGUCCCCAGUGCAUUCUUCACAGCGCUUUCCACCUUUAAUUUAGAUAUUUCAAGGGAAAUUUAAUCCAUAUGUUUUGGAUUCAUUUGGACUCAACUCAUAAAUAUGCUUCAUCAAGAACUGCCAAGCUCUGUGUUCCUGUUCACUAGAAUAAAGUAGUUUCAUGGGACAGCAGUACAGACAGAGGAAAUUUGAUAUCCAAGGGUCCAUCACCCAAACAAGAAAAA
rnacentral:lncRNA from 1 species